ACGCAACGGCGAGGGUCGAAGUUCACCUCGGCCGGCGCCGUUUUCUCCUUCACGGAUUUCAUCACCCACUCCUGCGAGCCUCACUUCACCAGCCUUCAUUCAUGUUUACAGACCCUCUUGUCAUUCUUUUCAUUACCGUGCACUCGAGCCACGAACGAAGAGCACCGCUCUCCCUCUUUCGCCGCCCUUUCUUCCCUUCCCUGCUCUCUCUCUCUAUCUAGCCCCUUCACCGUUCUCGUUGACCACGACGCUGAAACACUGUUUUAUCUCAAAAACCGGCUAUACCGUCGUUGCUGUUGCUCUCUUCUCUUUUCGUUGUUGUUUGUGCCUGCAAGCGGAUAGACUGAAACCUGUGCGUUUGGGUGCCGUUGGCAGCGACGCCGAUUACUUUUUGAACAAAUACAUCGUUCAGUGCACGGUUCGAUCUCCUCUAGCUCCCCAUCGCUGCCUAUCUCUGGUUCCCACGUUUUCGUUUUUUUUUUUUUGCUGCGUUUGCUUGGGUGCUUGUUACGAUUAUCUGCUUCAUCCUCGUCAGGCUCUCCUCUUCUUCCCUCCCGUAGCGGAAAGGAUUCGUGCAGCCUGCACUCCUCCCCAUCCCCUAAGGAAAUCUCGGAACUGCUUCUGCCACUCCAAGCUACUCUUUCUCUCUCUCUGUGCACACGGUGCGCCGUGCAUUCCGUGAGCUAAUCCUCACGCAGAUUGAUGGCAGUGAGCACAAAGUAAAACAAGAAGGAAGGGGCCUCUUGCAUUGCUCAAGCGGGCCAGAUCGAGGGGGUUCCGCCUUUUUCGUUAUUUUGUUUGGCAUUCCCUGCUCUCGCUUUUUCCUCUGUGGGCUGUGUCACGCGCAGGUGCACAUACAGAUAUAACACGCAGCCAGACGCACACAUCUAUAUAUUUCGUCAUAUUUCGCGACUCCGUUGUUUCACUCCAUUGACUCACCAACUUCUCCCGUUUCCGUGAAGAGCGUCCACCCUCCUGCCCUCCCCUCCCUCAUUCUUCUCCUCGGUGCCUCUGAGGGCAGCUCCGCUGAUCGACCUUUCUGGCUGUCUCCGUGUUGUUGUGUUGUUGGCUCAUUCUCGUGUUGUUUGCUUUUCCUUCACCUUUCUUUUUACUUGUUUGCUUGUUUGCCUUCGUGUUUUCUCCCCCGCUAUCCCUCUCCCCCAACUAUACACAUACACACAGAAACACAUCCUCCGCCUCUUCGGCCACCAUCUCCUUGCUCGAGUCUCUGCAGCCACUCGACUGCCAUUCUGCUCCACGCCGUCAAGGACAAGCACCGCAUCGAGGUAAGUGAAGAAGUGUGUGUGCAGUCGCCGCUGGGUCAUACUCACCUUCUUUCCGCUUGAAGGAAACAAAACAACAACACACAUCCGCGAAAGGUGCGCCGCGUAAACCGUUAUCUCGCUUCUGCUGCUGGUCGGCUUUCUUCGACUGAAAGGGUGAACGGUUGCAGCGCAUGUAUACUGCCUCGAAAAUGGAGUUUCCGUUGUACGAUGCUCACCUCACCAUCAGCGAAAGCGUCGAGGAGGGAAACGCCAUUCCGCCCCCUGACCUCGACAAGCCGCCUCUGUUCUUGGGCUACACCACGCUUGCACUAUCGCUGAUCUUCAUGGGGUGGUUUGCCUACAACGCGUGCGCUUGCUUGGAAGAGGAGACGAUGAAAUACCACCACGCCUCGCCUAUCCUUAGCUCACGCUGGCACCUUGUUCUCUGGACGGCCAUCUCACCGCAGAUCCUUUUCUUCUGCGCCUAUGGCAGCUGGGUGGGGUGGAAGUUCUUCAAGCACAACUAGGUGGGCCCGCUCGCCUCCAUCUUUGGCUGUUGUGAAGGCGAGGACACAGAUGAUGGAUGACCGAUGACUUCGAACGCCGUCUGCGUACCCGUGUGUGUUGAUACUCUACAGAGGUUCUCGUGCUGAUCUUGCUUCUUUACAUUCCUCGGCCUAUGUCUUGACCCCCCUAGAGGAAAAGCCUCUGUAUUUGUAUCAGGGUCCACGUGGGCUCACUCUCUCUCUGUGUGUGCGUGGGGGGGGGCGGGGGCAAGAGCCCCAGGCAGCCCAGCGAUCCCUGGCAAACGCUGAGCCACCUCUGGUGCUGGCAGGGUCACGUGCCUGGGACGUGGGGAGGUCAGGGCAAUGCAUCGCCGCUCAUGUCGGCAGUGAGGUCCGGGGGAUGGUGCUGCGCGGGAGCGCCCUGCGGCAGUGAGCACGCCUGCGCCAUCCAUAUGAUGAGCAGCGGGUCGACGUGACUCGAGCGUAUCCCACCCCACGGCCGUCACACCGCCUACUGGCAGGGCAAGCCCGAGCGACCCCGAGGGGGUGCCCCACAUGACGACCGGCAAAGCAGGAGCAGCUGUGAGGCAGCCGUGGUAGGCAGAGUAUGAGCCUGGGGCCACGCUCAGACCGCUCAGUGAACAUCGCUGCACCGCACAUGUGUAACGCUGCUUCGCACCACUCGAUGUGCCCCUGUGACCAGGGCAGGGGUGGUGGUGGUGGAGUGGAGUGGAGUGGGGUGGAUCGCAUGCUGCAUGGCGGUGAAUGGGCACGUUGAAAAAAAAAAGAAACGGUUUUGGCUUUGCCUCGCUGGAGCUCUUUUGGUGUUGUGUUCUUGCGGCCCACGACUGCUGAAGGAAAGCAGACGUGGGCCGCGACGAGACGUGGCUGUGUCUUCUGCUUUCGGCUCGUGGAUGAUGUAGCCUCGUAUAUGCGUAGAGGCAUCCUGGUCGUUUCUUGUUUGUUACUCGUGUCCCCUCUCCUCUUUGCAGCUAGCUUUCUUCUGCUUUUCUUCGCGUAGUUGUACUUUUAGCGGUGUCUGCGCACAUGUGCCUGGUGGUUGUGGGGAGGCGAUGCCACCGCUGUGCAGGCGCGCUCGUCUCUGCCUGCGUUGACUAUCUUUCUUUUGCUACGGCGUAGGAAUAAUAGUUUUUCUGCCUGCUUUCGGUCAGCUGCUACUGACCUCUUCACUUGUUUGCCUGCCUGUCUCUGUCGGCGAGUGUGUGUUCCCUGUUGUUGCUCGUGAUGCGUCGCGAUGUUCAACGCCGCCGCUCUGUGGCCACGGAGUCGUGCCUGCUCGUCCGUCAUCGCCACCGCAACUGCGACCGCUUCGCACUAGAACGAGGAGGAACACAGCACACGGCAAAGAGAGUUUGGGCUGCUAUUCGAAGUGGGACUAAGAUCGGCGUAUCAGACGGUGUGUUUCUUGUGCUGCAUUCCUCAUCUUUGUUGUCGCUUCCUUGCCUGCUUCUCGAAACCUGGCAGGGUGUGCUGCCGGCGCGAUGCCAAACUGCGAAGAUGAACACCGACACGCGUGUGACCUGUCAGGGGGGGGGGCACAUGGCACAAGGCACGCUUCACCUAUCAAGACGUUGGCCACGUCUCACGAAUCUCUUGCAACCCGUCAUAUUGGAAAAAAAAAUAAAAUAAGUAGGUAUUCAAACUGCAAGGGAAGCAGAAGCAAAAAGAACAAGGUGCCCUAUCGAGGUGGCUUCUCACUCCAACAGUCGAGACAAGUGUGAAGGCGGAGUGACGACCUGUAGCGUUUCACUUCUGCCCUCCUCCUCUCCCUCCCUUUGGUGGUGGCGAAUCUAGCGUGCUAAAGAGAGGCUUUCAAACCCUUCGUAGCGUGCGCACGUCGCAUGGACCCCGCAAGUAUGCCUCUUCGGCUUCCCGCUCUCAUCGCUGCUGCUGGCGCCUCUGGCGUACUAUCUCGAGGCGCACAUGCCGUUUCGCGGGUGCAAGCGCUGUUUCUGUUUUCUGCACUAACGUGAGCGCAUCAUCCUUGCCCCCGCCCCUCCGGCAACAACACCGCUGGACCGCUUUUUCUGCCGUCUGACGGCCAUCACACUCGUGUGAACGCUCAUCUUUCGCUCUGAAACCCUUUACACCGUCCCUCUUUUCCUCUUUCUACUAUUCUGUACGCUCGUGCUCAACACCGCUGUUUCGUUGUAGAGUCCUGUGCCAU
rnacentral:misc_RNA from 1 species